rnacentral:rRNA from 1 species
UAGUAGUUUCGUAGUCCUCGGCGUACAGGACGAACGCUGGCGGCGUGCUUAACACAUGCAAGUGGUGCGACGAACCAGGCUUGCCCUGGGCCAAGCCGCGAACGGGUGAGUAACACGUGAGUAACCUGCCCCGAUGACCGGGACAACCCCGAGGAAACUCGGGCUAAUACCGGAUGUGGCGCACAAUCGUAAGUUUGUGCGCUAAAGGAAGCUUCGGCCUCCGCAUUGGAGGGGCUCGCGGCCCAUUAGCUUGUUGGUGAGGUAACGGCUCACCAAGGCAACGGAUGGGUAGCUGGUCUGAGAGGACGAUCAGCCACACUGGGACUGAGACACGGCCCAGACUCCUACGGGAGGCAGCAGUGGGGAAUCUUGCGCAAUGCGCGAAAGCGUGACGCAGCAACGCCGCGUGGGGAAGACGGCCUUCGGGUUGUAAACCCCUUUCAGGAGGGACGAAGGUUCACCGGUGAAUAGCCGUGUGGAUUGACGGUACCUCCAGAAGAAGCUCCGGCUAACUACGUG